GCCUCAGUAGCCCAGUGGUAGAGCGUUUGCCUAGUACGAGCCCGCCCGGCUGAUAUAGUCCUAGCAAAAGGUCCAGUGCUCGACUCACUGUUGAGGCA
rnacentral:tRNA from 1 species